AACUGCAGCAGUGAGUGGAUUUAUCGUCCUCCUCCUCUCUGUGUCAGUGGUUCAGGGUCAGGACAGCUGGAGAGUGACUUACUCUUCUCUUCAGAUCUGUGCUUAUAAAGGAUCAACUGUGGAGAUGAACUGCACCUUCACAUACCCAGAGAGGAUAAAAGGAGAAGUUAACUCACUUCAGAAAACAUUCUGGUUUAGAGGAGGUGGUGGUACUUACAAAGAUGUAGAAACAGACUCAGAGUAUUCAGGUCGUGUGAAGAAUAUCUGUGAUGAGAACAAAUGCACUCUGAGAAUCACAAACCUGAGAGAGACAGACUCGACUGUGUACUGGUUUAGAUUCAUAAUAAACAAAGACAGUUAUCAUGGUCACCCUGGGGUCACUCUGUCAGUCACAGAUCUCCAGGUGAAGGUGAGCAGACCACAUAAGGCUCUGCUCUUUCAGUGUCUCAGUGGACUUUCCAGUCAAACCUCCUACAUCUGGUUCAGGAACGGAC